AGUGAACGCUGGCGGUAGGCCUAACACAUGCAAGUCGAACGGCAGCACAGUAAGAGCUUGCUCUUACGGGUGGCGAGUGGCGGACGGGUGAGGUAUACAUCGGAAUCUACUUUUUCGUGGGGGAUAACGUAGGGAAACUUACGCUAAUACCGCAUACGACCUACGGGUGAAAGCAGGGGAUCUUCGGACCUUGCGCGAUUGAAUGAGCCGAUGUCAGAUUAGCUAGUUGGCGGGGUAAAGGCCCACCAAGGCGACGAUCCGUAGCUGGUCUGAGAGGAUGAUCAGCCACACUGGAACUGAGACACGGUCCAGACUCCUACGGGAGGCAGCAGUGGGGAAUAUUGGACAAUGGGCGCAAGCCUGAUCCAGCCAUACCGCGUGGGUGAAGAAGGCCUUCGGGUUGUAAAGCCCUUUUGUUGGGAAAGAAAAGCAGCAGGUUAAUACCCCGCUGUUCUGACGGUACCCAAAGAAUAAGCACCGGCUAACUUCGUG
rnacentral:rRNA from 1 species